ensembl:ncRNA T11F9.29 ncRNA
GUUUUCCAAACACAUCUGGAAGUGAUUGAUCAGAUUCAUUGGUUUCCGCAAAGUGACGGAAGAGAAGUGAAAAAGAAUAAGAUGCUCUAGUUGUUUUCUUUUCUUCUUUACUUGCUUGAUCCAUAAAAAAAUUGUACGAACUGAAG